GCAUCGAAGAAACUCAAUAUGGAGUUUUCUUUCAACAUGGCAAGAUUAGCUAUUUGGGCAGGAAACUGCUCUUGCCUGGACUGUUUGUUUCUGUAUAAACUGGACAUGCAGGACCCACAAGAAAGUAACUGCUGAACUUACAAAACAAGACAGUACUUGAAGGGUUCCUGUUGAAAUGAAGAAGUGUGCCAAACACACUAUGGCCUAUGGGCUGAAGAUGGAUGCCCCAACGUUACAGAGGAACUUUGGUUGACUGUCCAGGUAGAGAGAUGUCUCUGUCAAUUCUAGAGUUUAUAUAUUAUCCUUCUGUGGUCUUUGAUAGAGUUGAAGACAGAUAGUUAUGGUUAUAGUUUUUUCAGUUAUUAUAAAAGAUAAGUUAUCCUUCUUUUUAUUUAGACAGAAAAGAGGAGAUGAUGGGGAAUGUACUUCUGUGUAUGUUCAUCUUAUUGAUUGUUGAAUAAAGUACUGUUUGGCCAAUGAGACAGCUAGUUGGGGGGGACUAGGAGUCAAGGAGGAUUCUGGGAAAUGUAGUAAAGAAGUGGUGACCUGCAGGAAGUGACAUAGCAGGGAGACUCAUAUAUAAACAAGGGCAAGAAGGAAGUGGGCCCCCUUUCUCUUCCUCCAGAGUCACCAUGUGAUCCCAGGAUGAGGACACCAAUGGAAGAUGCAUGUGGGAGGGUGGGAUGCUCAAUCACAGGUCAAAGCAAGCAGAGGGGACCACUUCAGAAACUAUGGAUUUCUAAAACAGCAUUGCAGAGUGUGGAGAAGUACAUAAAGCCACCUAAAAUUGACGCUCUGAGAGAAGCCUGUGUUGCCUUUGAUUGACCAGGAAAAGCCACAAUGAUCAACAGACUAAACCACCUCUGAAAAUGGUUUUCAGUCUGCCGAGACUCUUCUGUCAUAAUUCUAGGCAUUCAUCACCAAUCCUGAGGCUCUGGCUUUCUCUUUCAGCUUUCGACAGCUUUACUUAAAAAAAUCUUUUCCUGGAACCAGCUGGCCUCAUUUGUACACAAAACUUGGCUUAAUAACCAGAAAUGUCUGAGGCUGCAUGAACUUUCAAGUGCUUAUCUUCAACGUCCCAGGCAGGCUUUUUGUCUGAAGGACGGGUAACAUGGGUGAGUGAGACAGAGUCUCACUAUGCAGUCCAGGCUGGCCUUGAUCAGAAUCUUUUUGCCCCUAUCUCUUGCCUGCUGGGGUCACAAGUGUAUGGGACCAUCCUGUAUCACUUCAUUAGACCAUUGCAAUGUUGGUCUUUCAGAUGCCAGGCCACACAGUAUUAUUUACUAAUGAAUCCAAAUAUCUGGAAGGCCAUAUUCAGUGCAAUUAGAGAAACCUAAAAUACAGUAAAUAUUCUUUAAAAUUCUGUUUUGAGUCGAGUGUGGUGGCACAAGCCUUUAACUCCGGUACUUGUGAGACAGAGGCAGGUGAAUCUCUGAGUGUUCAAGGCCAGGCUGAUCUACAGGGGGAGUUCCAGGACAGCCAGAGGUAAUAGGGAGACCCUGUCUCAAAAAAACAAAACAAAGCUACCCUCUUGAAGUUAUCACUACACCAAGUAGCUUCUUAAUACAAUUUACUAGUAGAGGAUGAAAAACGGUGUCUGCUGAUUACCUUUGCCUCUGUCCCUUUGUAUUUACCUUUAUUUAGAAUAAAGACUAUGCAGUUCUACGUGAGCUACAAGGUCUCUGCAAUUAAGUAACCUAAAUAAAAUCGCAUUUCUAUAUAAACAAACUUGUAGGGCCCAGGUAGAGAGCUCAUUCAGUAAAGUGCUUGCCAUGCAGAUAUGAGGGGUACCUCCAGCACCCCUAUUAAAAUCCAGGUGUGGUGGCAUUGCCUGUAAUCCCAGUAUAGGGAAGACAGAGACAAGAAAACCCCUCUAGGGACUCACGCACCUGCCAGCCUAGCCUAAUGGGUGAGCCCCAGGAUCAAUGAGAGACCCUAUUUAUAAAAACAAGAAGGAUGGCUCCUCCAAGGUUGAGCUCUGGCCGCCAUGAGCACCUAAAUACACAUGUACCCGAACACAUGCAUAUUGAUCCACAUGCAUACCUGUGUGUACACACAGAGGAGCUGGACCACAUUAGCUAAACUUGCCCUUAUGAGGUCUAUAAUGUUUUUCUCGGCUUCAGUUUCCAGUGCACCCAUAAGGAGUUUGUUGUGAAUC
rnacentral:lncRNA from 1 species